AUCAUUACUAGAUGUCGCCAGUGUGCCAUUGUUGUUUUCGCAUCGUGAAACGAGGCGGAAUGGUCGAAGCAAAUUGUUGCUAAUUUAAACUUAUAUUCCUGUGAUUUCAUACAACAAAUUGACUUCGUAUCUUUAUCCAUACUGUCAGUCAUUCCAACAAGUUGACUUAGCGAUCAGUCACUUUCCACCCAAUAGACCCAUCAUGCUGUCAAAAGUCUAAAACUAAUGUUUGAAGCCCACAUAUUAGUGGAAUACAAAUCUGUCGAGUCAAGGAUCUUUUCUGAAUCUCACAAUUUUGGUGGUGUAACCUGCAACAGCAUGUUUGCUGUUAAUAUGGCUGUUUCUACUUCUGUUUAGAAGUCAACCCAGCUAAGGGAUAGUGACAUGAAGAGUGUGACGUGAAUAAUGCCAUGUGUGUACAAACAUGUUCUAGUUCUGCUUGAUGCCUCUCUAAAUUCAUCACUUGUAUCAUGCUUGUAUGAUAAAGUAUCAGGAAAUCUCAACAUGAGGACUGUUUGUUGCUGUGAUUUCCAUUAUUACGGUUUUUUUAUCAUGAAAAUUUCAGUGUGCUUCUUAGUUAAGGACUAAAGAGCACGCAAGAGAUCCAUAAGCCAAUGCUGCCCUUUGUACAGGACGGAAGAGUGACUUCCAGUCUUCCACCCACGUUAUCUUCCCGACGUAUGUUCAUCAUCUAGGCUUCGCUGCUUUUGCUGCUACACACCUGCAAUUACUCACCACGGGAUUUUAUCCAGGUAAUGAAGAGGAGACGUCGAGAAGAUGGAUUUUCUCAUCUUUAAAAAUCGUCACCCGUCUCCGUCGGAUGUUGCCCCUGCUCCUGGUGCGAACGAAACUCGGUGGAGUGAAUGGAUAAUUCGCCAACAAAAUACUUCUGGCAUUGGAAAGGGAAAAUCGCGACUGGCACCGAGACUCCUCAUCAACGUGAAUCAUCGUAUUGUUGGUAUUAUUGCGUUUGUGUUAGUUAACCCGUUGGCUGCCACACCUUUGUUCUCCCCUAGCUGCUUAGCAUGGGCCGCGCUGUUCGGUCUCGUGGUUUUCAUGCCGGGGGGUCGGAAAGUCGCUCCAGCCCAAAAUUCGCCGCAAGGCGCCUGUUAGGCAAUGCACCAUAGGGACUUCCCCCUUGUCGAUACGGUGAUGGAUUCUAGAGGAUGUGCAUUGUGCAUUCCAUCUUCUCCUGUCACCGUGUCAG
rnacentral:lncRNA from 1 species